AAUCAAAUUCAAAAAAACCUCUAAGAAAUUUCAAAAAAACAAUAAGAAUUCUUAAAGAAAUAUUAGAAGAUUUACAAAUAUUAUUCAAAUACAUCUCAAUUCAAUCUUAAUUUAAUUUUAGUUAAAAUACUAUUAAACUUCAUUCAAAAUUUAGGCCAAAACUAAUUUAAUCUUAAAUCCUAAUAAAAUCCCAAAUCCUAAAUUAAAUCCUAAAUAAACCUUAAACCAAACUCCAACCAAAUCCUAAAUCAAAUCCUAAUUCAAAUUCUAAAUCCUAAACCAAACCCUAAUCCAAAUCCUAAAUCCUAAAUCAAACCCUAACUAAAUCUUAAACCUUAAAUCAAAUCCUAACCAAAUCCUAAAUCCUAAAUCAAAUCCUAAUAAUUCCUACAAUAGAUUUAAACCUCAAUAAUUAAUGAAUAAAUCAUUGAUCUUAACUUAAAUUUUGUACACUUCUA
rnacentral:lncRNA from 1 species